rnacentral:rRNA from 1 species
GACGUAGGGCGCGAGCGUUGUCCGGAUUUAUUGGGCGUAAAGAGCUCGUAGGUGGCGUGUCGCGUCUGCCGUGAAAGCCCAUGGCUUAACUGUGGGUCUGCGGUGGAUACGGGCAGGCUAGAGGCUGGUAGGGGCAAGCGGAAUUCCUGGUGUAGCGGUGAAAUGCGCAGAUAUCAGGAGGAACACCGGUGGCGAAGGCGGCUUGCUGGGCCAGUUCUGACGCUGAGGAGCGAAAGCGUGGGGAGCGAACAGG